rnacentral:rRNA from 1 species
UUUAUGGAGAGUUUGAUCCUGGCUCAGGAUGAACGCUGGCGGCGUGCCUAAUACAUGCAAGUCGAGCGAACGGACGAGAAGCUUGCUUCUCUGAUGUUAGCGGCGGACGGGUGAGUAACACGUGGAUAACCUACCUAUAAGACUGGGAUAACUUCGGGAAACCGGAGCUAAUACCGGAUGAUAUUUUGAACCGCAUGGUUCAAAAGUGAAAGACGGUCUUGCUGUCACUUAUAGAUGGAUCCGCGCUGCAUUAGCUAGUUGGUAAGGUAACGGCUUACCAAGGCAACGAUGCAUAGCCGACCUGAGAGGGUGAUCGGCCACACUGGAACUGAGACACGGUCCAGACUCCUACGGGAGGCAGCAGUAGGGAAUCUUCCGCAAUGGGCGAAAGCCUGACGGAGCAACGCCGCGUGAGUGAUGAAGGUCUUCGGAUCGUAAAACUCUGUUAUUAGGGAAGAACAUAUGUGUAAGUAACUGUGCACAUCUUGACGGUACCUAAUCAGAAAGCCACGGCUAACUACGUGCCAGCAGCCGCGGUAAUACGUAGGUGGCAAGCGUUAUCCGGAAUUAUUGGGCGUAAAGCGCGCGUAGGCGGUUUUUUAAGUCUGAUGUGAAAGCCCACGGCUCAACCGUGGAGGGUCAUUGGAAACUGGAAAACUUGAGUGCAGAAGAGGAAAGUGGAAUUCCAUGUGUAGCGGUGAAAUGCGCAGAGAUAUGGAGGAACACCAGUGGCGAAGGCGACUUUCUGGUCUGUAACUGACGCUGAUGUGCGAAAGCGUGGGGAUCAAACAGGAUUAGAUACCCUGGUAGUCCACGCCGUAAACGAUGAGUGCUAAGUGUUAGGGGGUUUCCGCCCCUUAGUGCUGCAGCUAACGCAUUAAGCACUCCGCCUGGGGAGUACGACCGCAAGGUUGAAACUCAAAGGAAUUGACGGGGACCCGCACAAGCGGUGGAGCAUGUGGUUUAAUUCGAAGCAACGCGAAGAACCUUACCAAAUCUUGACAUCCUUUGACAACUCUAGAGAUAGAGCCUUCCCCUUCGGGGGACAAAGUGACAGGUGGUGCAUGGUUGUCGUCAGCUCGUGUCGUGAGAUGUUGGGUUAAGUCCCGC